UUUUUUUUUGGAUGUCUUUCAAUGUCAUAUUUAACAUGAUAUUAUAAUUAUCAGCAGAUUACUUUUCAACCAUUCUAAACAAUGCUGACACCCCAAUGGCGGUCACUAAUAAAGGCCUGAAAUGAACACGUCAGCACCAAUUCAGUGACUUGUUAUGUAACACACUUUAUACCUGCAGGAAGUAAAAAGCAACAAAGCUUCAUAUAAUAAGUUUUGGCUUUGCAAAAUCAAAAUGUCUCACACAGACCUAAAACAGUGUACUAAAUUCGACAUUGAGAUGAUCAGAGUGGAAAAUUCAUAACAUGGGCUAUAAUAACAACUGAUUUCCAUAAUGGAAAAAAAGAAUGUCUGAGUUAAAGAUAUUUUUAAAUGAUGCCUCUCAGCAAAUAGUAUACAUGACUCAAAAGGAGGUUGCUGCUUAUCAGAUAAAGUUCACUGUUAUAGGCAAUGUUCAGAUAAACUUCAAAACUAGCACUGCAUUGCGUAAUUGGUAGAGCAGACAAAUGGACAAAAAUAGUUCUCCUCUUCUUCUCCACUUCUAUGUUCAAAAUGAGACUGUUUUCGUGUAGCCUAACUAAGGUUUGUUUUCUUUUCUUCUUUCAUUUACACUUGCUUUAUUUGUUUCCCUAUUCCAUCCUUUCAUACCUGGCAAAAGACUUAAUUUACAAACCUGCUAAUAAAUGUUAUUAAACAAAAGUUUAAUAUGGUAGGACAUGAGCUGCUAGUGACUUUGCUUGAAACUUACCUCAGUGCUGCAACAGCAUUUAGUGUUAUAAUAACAGAUAUAAGUUUACCACAGAAAAGCAUUGAAUUAGUGCCUGUGCCAUGUGUUCUUUUUACUGUGUUGUAGUUGUGAAAUAAGAUAAAACAUCACAAGCAAAAGCACCUACAGUUGGUCAAAGGUGAAACAAGGCGCAACGCAUUGCAUCCUCUUCUAGGCAUGUUAACUCAAGAACAAACUGCCAAAGACAGCAAAACAACCAUGCACUGCUAUGACAUGACAAAAAAAUUAAACAUGAUAUAAGAUAACAUUGUCUAUCUCUACCUAUUUCUCUCCUGUUCUGUCUCUCUCUCCUACUCUUCUUUUUUUUUUCCUCAGUCUCUCUGGAACUUUCCCCUCUGCUGUGAUGAGUGGAGGCUCUGCUUCAUACCAACAGGGCAUUUGCUUUCACAUCCUGUCCUGCUCUAAUUUUCAUCAUAGUCGACUGGAAUAAAGAGUCAACAUUACGCCAAGCCAACAUUAUGAAUGGUGAAUAACUAACCACACUGCUAGUCCAACUCAGUUGUACUGGCUUCUACUAUGUGAAGAAAAUGUAUUCAAAUAAAUCUGAGUGGGGCCUAUUCUUCAAACUUUCUGUAUAUCCAGAUGUGUGUCAAGAAACAAUUAUGCAAUAAUUGCAAUGUUGAUGGUGUUAAAUUAACUGCUACAUAAUUUUUCAUUGCCAAUUCACACCCAUUAUUUGGUUCUCCCCUGCCACACAACCAACCAGAGAGGGUGAAUAGAGGCUAACACAAGACAUUCUAAGAUAUAUGAAACCAGACAUUGCAUCUUUUUAAACUGCUGCUCAUGCUACACUAUGUCAAAGGACAGCUGAACUCAGAGUAAGGCACGAACUGCCCUUUCCACAUGCAUAAGCUCACAGACACCCACAAUCAGUUAGCAUUGCUCUGAUCAACAGGGGAGAGACUAAGGCCAUCAUUCCCACAUAGAGAGCACAACCAAAUAUGCUCUUUUGGCCUCAUGGACAUAGAUGGCUAUGGCAUUGUUGAGAUUCAAACUUGAAAUCUCCCAAUGACUGGGUGAAACUUUGCUGUUUUGCUGUAAUCAUAAACUGUUUGACUUAUUUAACGUUGAUAUAAGGCCAUGAUAGAGGAUUGCGAGUGUAAAAACACAUGCCAAAAAAGCUGCAAGACGAUUUGAUAUGGAGAAGUUCAACAUUCAUAAGAGCAAACUAGCACAUCUUGUUGAUUUGCAUGUUUACCUUAAUAAAUAUGCAGAAACGUGCAUAAUACACGGUGGUGUAUGCAAAUAGAUUAAAAUUUAGCAUCCACAGUGUGAUUUAGCACAGCCUGAAAUUCACUUCACGAAUGGUGAUUGCAUGCACAAAUGAAUAAAACCAAAGGACAGGCAUUAAAUUAGCAUAAGCCUGUUGUAAUCAACUGAGGUCUAAAUGAAACCAUUAUUUAAUUAAGGUUUAUCAGAAUUAUGCCUCGGGAUUGAAGAAAAGGGGGAGAUUUUUCAAAAUUAUGACUUCAUAUUAAUGUGCAUGUUUAUCUCUCUGUGUGUGUGUGUGUGUGUGUGUGUGUGUGUGUGUAUCUAGAGAGAUAGACACUGUCACAGAAAAAUGAAGACAGAAGAUGUAUCAACUUCAACUAUUUUUAGCCCUCUGGUUGUCACUGCUUCCUAAGGUGAGGAAACACAGGCAUAUCUAUCUAUUCACAAAAAUCACUUUUCAAAUUUGAACCAUAUAGAACCAUCCAAUGUAAGAGAGAUUCUGGAUGACUUGGAUAGGAUUUAUACUGUGUUAUAUGUGGACAUACGAUUAGUUCUUACACCAGCUUUAAAUAUGUGCUAAUGGUCACUGAGACACCCAAGGUGAGUGGUUUUGUUCUUGUUCAGUGUAAUCCUCUAUAUUUAUGGAUACUGCAUGCAACAGAUGUCAACAACUGCACUGCAAAACAUGAUGAUUCAAUAAAAGAUAAAAUGUCUUGGAGGAAGGAACAAGAAAGGGUGCAAAUCCUGGAAUUCUUUUAUUUCUUUCCUUCUACACAGUAAAUGAAACUGUGGAUAUGAAAAGCAGCAUAUGCUGGAGAGGCCAGACAGCCAUCAAUGCAGCUAUGCAGAUACAUUACACUAAUCAGAUACACAUCCACGGUAGUUAGGGUCAAUCCAGAGGGAACCAGGGACUGUAAAGUGAUUAUGAUGAGGAAGAGAAAGAGGAUGGGUGAGGAUACACAUAAUAAAAUGUGCUAUAUAUGAUACAGUUUCUCAUGUACUGUUACAGAAAAUAGCUUAACAAACUUAUCAAGAAAUCAAGUUAGAAUAAACUUGGUUCAUAUGUAUGUAUGUAUGUCUGUAUGUAUGUAUGUGUGUGUGCGUGUGUGUGUGCGCGUGAAUAAAUGUAAAAAAAGAAAAUUAAAUGGAACGACCAGUACACAAGCACACAAUAUAUCAUUUCAAACUCAAACACACGACCAUGCAACUGUCUGCUUUUUAAAGUAAAGUUCAUGUGAAUUUUAGUGCUAUGUGGGCUGCCAGUUAUAUUUCAGUGAACAGAAUGUAGUUGUGGUGAUGCUUUAUUGCGUCUUAUAUUGUACAGCCUAAAAUGUCACUCAGCUCUUUUUCUCCCCGACUUUAUACUCAUGAAUGUGCACCCAUCCUGUAUGUGCUUACACCCACACAAAAACAGGGGUGAUAAUCUCACUGCAACCGCUUUGAAACACCUAUGUUUUGUCUUCCUACUAAAAAAAAAAAACUGUUCAUAUACUACAU
ensembl:lncRNA